GUGCCUAAUACAUGCAAGUCGAACGGUCUUUCUAUGGAAGCUUGCUUCCACUGAGAAGAUAGUGGCGAACGGGUGAGUAACACGUGGGUAACCUGCCCAUAAGAGGGGGAUAACAUCCGGAAACGGGUGCUAAUACCGCAUAGUUUUCUUGAUCGCAUGAUUGAGAAAGGAAAGACGGCCUUUGUGCUGUCGCUUAUGGAUGGACCCGCGGCGUAUUAGUUAGUUGGUGAGGUAACGGCUCACCAAGACGAUGAUACGUAGCCGACCUGAGAGGGUGAUCGGCCACAUUGGGACUGAGACACGGCCCAAACUCCUACGGGAGGCAGCAGUAGGGAAUCUUCCGCAAUGGACGAAAGUCUGACGGAGCAACGCCGCGUGAGUGAAGAAAAGGGUUUUCGGAUCGUAAAACUCUGUUGUCAGAGAAGAACAAGUUGGAGAGUAACUGCUCCAGCCUUGACGGUAUCUGACCAGAAAGCCACGGCUAACUACGUGCCAGCAGCGGC
rnacentral:rRNA from 1 species